CAAUAGCGUGUAUUAAAGUUGUUGCAGUUAAAAAGCUCGUAGUUGGAUUUCGGGGCAGCCUGGCUGGUCCGCCGCAAGGCGAGUACUGGUCAGCCGCCCUUCCUCUCGAAAGCCCCGACUGCUCUUUAUUGCAGUGGUCGGGUAGUUCGGGACGUUUACUUUGAAAAAAUUAGAGUGUUCAAGGCAGGCCUACGCCUGAAUACAUUAGCAUGGAAUAAUGGAAGAGGACCUCGGUCCUAUUUUGUUGGUUUCCAGGACCGAAGUAAUGAUUAAGAGGGACAGUUGGGGGCAUUCGUAUUUAAUUGUCAGAGGUGAAAUUCUCGGAUUUAUGAAAGACGAACAACUGCGAAAGCAUUUGCCAAGGAUGUUUUCAUUAA
rnacentral:rRNA from 1 species